GCCCUAGUAACGGCGAGUGAAGCGGCAACAGCUCAAAUUUGAAAUCUGGCCUUCUUUGGGGGUCCGAGUUGUAAUUUGCAGAGGGUGCUUUGGUGUUGACAGCGGUCUAAGUUCCUUGGAACAGGACGUCACAGAGGGUGAGAAUCCCGUACGUGGUCGCUUGCCUCCGCCGUGUAAAGCCCCUUCGACGAGUCGAGUUGUUUGGGAAUGCAGCUCUAAAUGGGAGGUAAAUUUCUUCUAAAGCUAAAUACUGGCCAGAGACCGAUAGCGCACAAGUAGAGUGAUCGAAAGAUGAAAAGCACUUUGGAAAGAGAGUCAAACAGCACGUGAAAUUGUUGAAAGGGAAGCGCUUGCAGCCAGACUUGCCCGUAGUUGCUCACCCGGACUUUUGCCCGGGGCACUCUUCUGCGGGCAGGCCAGCAUCAGUUUGGGCGACCGGAUAACGGCCUCUGUCAUGUAUCUUCCUUCGGGAUGACCUUAUAGGGGAGGCGUAAUGCGGCCAGCCCGGACUGAGGUCCGCGCUUCGGCUAGGAUGCUGGCGUAAUGGCUGUAAGCGGCCCGUCUUGAAACACGGACCAAGGAGUCUAACAUCUAUGCGAGUGGUGAAUAUGCUUGAAUAGGGUGAAGCCAGAGGAAAUUGGUGGAGCUCGCAGCGGUUCUGACGUGCAAAUCGAUCGUCAAAUUUGGGCAUAGGGGCGAAAGAUAAUCGAACUAUCUAUAGUAGCUGGUUCCUGCCGAAGUUUCCUCAGGAUAGCAGUAACGUAUUCAGUUUUAUGAGGUAAAGCGAUGAUUAGAGGCCUGGGGGUUGAAACAACCUUCACCUAUUUCAAACUUUAAAUAUGUAAGAAGUCCCUGUUACUUGAUUGAAGGGGACAUUUGAUGACCGUUAUAGUGGGCCAUUUUUGGUAAGCAGAACGGCGAUGCGGGAUGAACCGAACGGGGGUUAAGGUGCCAGAAUGCCGUCAUCAGACACCACAAAAGGUGUUAGUUCAUCUAGACAGCAGGACGGUGGCCAUGGAAGUCGGAAUCCGCUAAGGAGUGUGUAACAACUCACCUGCCGAAUGAACUACCCUGAAAAUGAGGCGCUGCAAGCGUCUACCCAUACCCCGCCGCUGGGGCAGAUCAUUAUGCCCCAGCGAGUAGGC
rnacentral:rRNA from 1 species